GAAGAAAGACAUUUCAGAGACUGUCAACAUAAGGGGAAAAAGCAAACGAAAGAAAGAUGGUUCUAGUCAAUUAAUAAGCAAAUAACAUACAAGAGAGACUUGCACAACGCAUAAUGGGAACUCCAAUAAAAGAAUAGGCCGUCGGUACAUAUAUAUAUAUAGUGGUCAUAAAGCAACCAAUGGAGUUGCUCCUUUCAGUGCGUACUCACCUGAGAUGGUCC
rnacentral:lncRNA from 1 species